rnacentral:tRNA from 1 species
GCGCUGGUGGUUCAGUGGUAGAAUUCUCCCCUGCUACGCGGGAGACCGGGGUUCGAGUCCCCGCUAGCGUA